rnacentral:rRNA from 1 species
AAAUUGAAGAGUUUGAUCAUGGCUCAGAUUGAACGCUGGCGGCAGGCCUAACACAUGCAAGUCGAACGGUAACAGGAAGCAGCUUGCUGCUUUGCUGACGAGUGGCGGACGGGUGAGUAAUGUCUGGGAAACUGCCCGAUGGAGGGGGAUAACUACUGGAAACGGUAGCUAAUACCGCAUAACGUCGCAAGACCAAAGAGGGGGACCUUCGGGCCUCUUGCCAUCGGAUGUGCCCAGAUGGGAUUAGCUUGUUGGUGAGGUAACGGCUCACCAAGGCGACGAUCCCUAGCUGGUCUGAGAGGAUGACCAGCCACACUGGAACUGAGACACGGUCCAGACUCCUACGGGAGGCAGCAGUGGGGAAUAUUGCACAAUGGGCGCAAGCCUGAUGCAGCCAUGCCGCGUGUAUGAAGAAGGCCUUCGGGUUGUAAAGUACUUUCAGCGGGGAGGAAGGGGUUAAGGUUAAUAACCUUAGCCAUUGACGUUACCCGCAGAAGAAGCACCGGCUAACUCCGUGCCAGCAGCCGCGGUAAUACGGAGGGUGCAAGCGUUAAUCGGAAUUACUGGGCGUAAAGCGCACGCAGGCGGUCUGUCAAGUCGGAUGUGAAAUCCCCGGGCUCAACCUGGGAACUGCAUUCGAAACUGGCAGGCUUGAGUCUCGUAGAGGGGGGUAGAAUUCCAGGUGUAGCGGUGAAAUGCGUAGAGAUCUGGAGGAAUACCGGUGGCGAAGGCGGCCCCCUGGACGAAGACUGACGCUCAGGUGCGAAAGCGUGGGGAGCAAACAGGAUUAGAUACCCUGGUAGUCCACGCCGUAAACGAUGUCUAUUUGGAGGUUGUUCCCUUGAGGAGUGGCUUCCGGAGCUAACGCGUUAAAUAGACCGCCUGGGGAGUACGGCCGCAAGGUUAAAACUCAAAUGAAUUGACGGGGGCCCGCACAAGCGGUGGAGCAUGUGGUUUAAUUCGAUGCAACGCGAAGAACCUUACCUGGUCUUGACAUCCACAGAACCCUGUAGAGAUACGGGGGUGCCUUCGGGAACUGUGAGACAGGUGCUGCAUGGCUGUCGUCAGCUCGUGUUGUGAAAUGUUGGGUUAAGUCCCGCAACGAGCGCAACCCUUAUCCUUUGUUGCCAGCGGUUCGGCCGGGAACUCAAAGGAGACUGCCAGUGAUAAACUGGAGGAAGGUGGGGAUGACGUCAAGUCAUCAUGGCCCUUACGACCAGGGCUACACACGUGCUACAAUGGCAUAUACAAAGAGAAGCGACCUCGCGAGAGCAAGCGGACCUCAUAAAGUAUGUCGUAGUCCGGAUUGGAGUCUGCAACUCGACUCCAUGAAGUCGGAAUCGCUAGUAAUCGUGGAUCAGAAUGCCACGGUGAAUACGUUCCCGGGCCUUGUACACACCGCCCGUCACACCAUGGGAGUGGGUUGCAAAAGAAGUAGGUAGCUUAACCUUCGGGAGGGCGCUUACCACUUUGUGAUUCAUGACUGGGGUGAAGUCGUAACAAGGUAACCGUAGGGGAACCUGCGGUUGGAUCACCUCCUUACCUUAAAGAA